rnacentral:lncRNA from 1 species
UGUAGUAUAUGGGUUGAUGAAUUUGGCUCUCAUUCUCUCGGACGAGCACCGAACUGACCUCCUCAGGGGAAGCGGCCAAAUAGAGAUACAGUGUUUCCCCGACCUCUGGCUUCACAAGCAAUGGCGGAGAAGCCAAGUACCCCUUCAGAUCCUCGAUGGCCCGUCGGCACUCAUCCGACCAAGAGAAGCCCCUCGCCUGCCUCAGGGUUUUGAAGAACGGGAGGCAUC